GUUGCCGUUUCGGCGACAGCGGGGUCAUGGGACCGCGACAUUCGACGAAAGACGAAGUGCAAUUACCUGGAAAGGUAAGCCGUGGAGGGUGACAGCCCCGUGCACGACACCUCCAUCUAAGAUAGCGGUAUCCCGAGUAGGGCGGGACACGAGAAAUCCUGCCUGAAUUCGCCAGGACCUCCUGGCAAGGCUAAAUACUCCCGAGAGACCGAUAGUGAACCAGUACCGCGAGGGAAAGGUGAAAAGUACCCCGAGCAGGGGGGUGAAAUAGACCCUGAACCCGCGCGCCUACAAGCGGUCGGAGCCAUGAAAUAUGGUGACGGCGUGCCUUUUGCAUAAUGAGCCUACGAGUUAGUCGUCACCAGCGAGGUUAAGGGCUUCAGGCCCGUUAGCCGAAGUGAAAGCGAGCCUUAACAGGGCGUCGAGUUGGUGGCGCUAGACGCGAAACCUUGUGAUCUACCCACGAGCAGGUUGAAGUCGCGGUAACACGUGAUGGAGGACCGAACCGGUAAACGUUGAAAAGUUUUCGGAUGACUCGCGGGUAGGGGUGAAAGGCCAAUCAAACUGGGAAAUAGCUCGUACUCUCCGAAAUGCAUUUCGGUGCAGCCUGUGAUGUUCUGUUCCAGAGGUAGAGCUACUGGUUGGACGCGAGGGCUUCACCGCCUAUCAAAUCCGGAUAAACUCCGAAUGCUGGAACACGAAAUCAUGGAGUGAGCCCGCGGGUGCUAAGGUCCGCGGACGAGAGGGAAAGAACCCGGACCACCGGCUAAGGUCCCGGAUGGACAGUUAAGUUGAUCAAACGAGGUGGGAUCGCCGAGACAGCUAGGAUGUUGGCUUGGAAGCAGCCAUUCAUUUAAAGAGUGCGUAACAGCUCACUAGUCGAGCGAUCCCGCGUGGAUAAUACACGGGCAUGAAACUGUCAACCGAAGCCGUGGGGUUAGUUAAUGACUGACCGGUAGGAGAGCAUUCCUGCCAGCUUUGAAGGUCACCCGCGAGAGUGACUGGAGCGGCAUGAAAAGCAAAUGUAGGCAUAAGUAACGAUAAUGGGGGCGAGAACCCCCCACGCCGCAAGACCAAGGAUUCCCCGGCAAUGUCAAUCAGCCGGGGGUCAGCCGGCCUCUAAGGCUAACCCGAACGGGGACGCCGACGAGAAACGGGUUAACAUUCCCGUGCUUCUCGUCACCGUGACGCGGUGACGGGGUGAUGAAUGGACCGCGCGCUGACGGAAUAGCGCGUUGAAGGCCGUACCCGAUGACGGUGGUAGUCAAGCACGCCACCGGAGGCGAAAGCCGAUAGUACCUCGAGGCCUCGGCCGAGGGGAUAGCGUCCAGGCAAUUUACCCCCUAGAAAACCCGCUAAACUUCAAGUGACGAGGAACCGUACUGUAAACGGACACACGUGGUCGGGUAGAACAUACCAAGGCGUCGAGUGAUUCAUGGUCAAGGAACUAGGCAAAAUAGUCCUGUAACCUCGGGAAAAAGGACGCUCUAGUGAUAGAGCCGCAGAGUAAUGGCCCAGGCGACUGUUUACCAAAAACACAUGGCUAUGCCAAAUCGAAAGAUGACGUAUAUGGCCUGACACCUGCCCGGUGCCGGAAGGUUAAGAGGAGAGCUCAUCGGAAACGAGAAGGUUUGAAUUGAAGCCCCGGUAAACGGCGGCCGUAACUAUAACGGUCCUAAGGUAGCGAAAUUCCUUGUCGGGUAAGUUCCGACCUGCACGAAUGGUGUAACGAUCUGGGCACUGUCUCGACCAUGAGCUCGGUGAAAUUGUAGUUCCGGUGAAGAUGCCGGGUACCCGCGACGGGACGGAAAGACCCCGUGAACCUUUACUGCAGCUUCGCGUUGUUCCCGGGCACGGGACGUGUAGGAUAGGUCGGAGGCAUUGAAGCGGAUUCGCCAGGAUUCGUGGAGCCAUCGUUGAAAUACGACCCUUCUCUUGUCUGGGAUCUAACCCU
rnacentral:rRNA from 1 species